CGGAGGAUAAGAAACUAAAUAGGAUUCCCUCAGUAAUGGCGAAUGAACAGGGAUCAGCUCAGCAUGGAAAUUGGGGCCUUGGCCUUGAAUUGUAGUCUCGAGAUGUAUUGCCAACGGAGGCGCAGAUGUAAGCCUCUUGGAAAAGAGCAUCAACGAGGGUGAGAGUCCCGUUUGUCAUCUGCAGACCCCCGUGCACGGCGUACCUUCCAAGAGUCGCGUUCCUCGGAAUUGGAGCGUAAAUUGGGUGGUAAAUUUCAUCUGAAGCUAAAUAUUGGUUCGAGACCGAUAGCAAACAAGUACCAUGAGGGAAAGGUGAAAAGGACUUUGAAAAGAGAGUUAAAAGUGCCUGAAAUUGCUGAAAGGGAAGCGAAUGGAACCAGUGCGCUUGGUGAGAUUGUCACAUGGCUUCCAUGUGGUGGUUCUUGCCUUGUGUGUCAUUGCCAGUUUGCGUUCGAGGAAAACUCCAGAGACAUGGUAGCCUAGCCUCGGCUGGGUGAAUGUGUCUGGUAGAACUCAUUCGCGUACUGUUUUCUGUGUCUGGUUGCAAUGCACUGUGCCAUCUGGGGGUGGCUGGAGAGGGAGUUUACUCCACUUCUUUGGCUAACUUCUGGGUGACCAGGGCACUUCCUUGACACAUAGACGAUGACUAAAUGGUUCUUUUCGACCCGUCUUGAAACACGGACCAAGGAGUCUAACAUAUGUGCGAGUCCACGGGUGUCAAACCUGCUGGCGCAGUGAAAGCGACUGCUGGGAUCUUUGCACCAGCAACCGACCAAUCAAUUGAGAGAGGUUUGAGUAUGUGCAUAUCUGUUAGGACCCGAAAGAUGGUGAACUAUGCCUGAGAAGGGCAAACUCAGGGGAAACUCUGAUGGAGGCUCGUAGCGAUACUGACGUGCAAAUCGUUCGUCAUACUUGGGUAUAGGGGCGAAAGACUAAUCGAACCAUCUAGUAGCU
rnacentral:rRNA from 1 species